rnacentral:antisense_RNA from 1 species
GCUCCGGGCGGCGUUCCGACGAUAGCGGCUAGUCAGAUAUGUAUUUGCUGACUGACACGCCGCCAUCGUCGGAACGCCGCCCGGAGC